CAGUGGAAGAAAGGCAG
rnacentral:piRNA from 1 species